UGAUGGUCCACACAGCUGGCAACUUCUGCAGUUUCUCCUCCAGUGCAAAGGUGUAGGGACCAGUGUAUCUGUUCCCUUUCAGGUUCUGAGCAGAGACAACCACAGAAGGUGAGGGUCCACAGACUUCUUCCUUCUCCAGGACCACUGGUGCACAAUUUUCAUUAAAACCAGGUUUUGUUCAUCCAUUCCCAGUUUCUAGACAUGAUUGCAGCUACUGCACUUAAAUUGGAUUGACAAACGCACAAACCACAAUCGUGUGCGUUCUCUUCUCUUGCUACUGUCAAUCCAAUUGCAGAUAAUGAAUUUGAUUAACUGAAGAAAUGUGCUUUGCUCUUUUGUGCUGAAAGCAUGCCUGCCCAUAAACACAGGUAUGUGUGUUCGGUAGUAGCUAGCACUGAGCAGUGAAAUGCAAGGUAAGGUCAUAAAGUAUUCUUUAAAUUACUUUAGGGUCCUUCUUUAAACUACCUUAAGAAAUCAAAUGAUGGCAGUUAAUCUGUAGAAAAAAAAAGCAAGGGAGCUAUUUGUAAAACAUAUCAAGAGAAAAGGAUUGAUGGGACAGGGCUCGUGACAGGGUCCACUGAGGUUGAUGGGACAUUAGGAAUUAUGGCUCUAAGUGUCUUCAGUUGUCUGGGAAGGAAGAUUCCUUUAGUAGUGCAGGUGCACUAAGGUAACUUCUGACCAGCUAUUGACCCCAGUGCCACAUUAACAUGGGAUUGACUUGUAGAUGAAGCCUCCCUAAAUAGAAUGGCCGCUAUAACAGUUUUGGAGAGGACUCACUAAGGACAAAAACUUCACCACCCAAUGUGAAGGAGGAGUUGAACACCUGACUGACAAGGAGUACAGAAGGUGGUCCCCAGCUCUCCUGGUAAACAUCAAACGGUAAUAAAUUUGGAGACAGCAUUGUCUUCUUUGUCGUUCUCUGUCCAGAGAUGGCCCACUCCAUCUUGAGUGUGCUCUCUGCUUGAGCCUCACUAUGCUUUUACUUUACUUUCACCUUGUUUUCAUUUUACUUUCACCUAUAAUAAAGUUCUCUUGCAUGACUUUUCAUAUCCGAUUUUACAUUUUCUUUCCAAUUGGAACACGAGAACCGAGGUUUGGAGUUUUAGCUCCCUGUUUUCCUGAGACAUGUGGACUCUGGAAAGUAGAACGGCUUAGAAGGAAAUAAACCAAAAGUGCUAAGAGAGACUGUAUUUAGGAAUGACCCUAUAACAGGAUUUUUAAAAGUUUGUCUAUUUUUAUGUAUUUUCUGUUCUCUAUAAUGAAGGACAUUUUUAUUAAUAAAGUUUAUUUGUAAAAGUGAUGAUUUGGGUUAGUACCGAAGAUUUCUACCAAUGAAGGCAACUCAGGUUUUACCUUAACCACCUUCAGGAUGCCUUCGUUGGUUCUGGGAUCAGUUUCUAUUUCAAACCAAUUCCCUUCAUUUCCAGAGGUAAAGAAAUACACGGCCAGCCAAUUAUCUGUGUACUCUUCAUCCCAGUCUGUCACUUGAAACCGAAGCAACUCAGAAUUUAAAGUAUUUUCUUUAAUACUUGCUGAAUACUGAAAGAGAGAAAAGCAGUAUUUAAGACUCACAUUGCUAGGUUUGACCUGUAAGGAUUAUGUUUAUUUUAAAUGGCACUGGUCAUUACCUCUCAAAUAUUUUCAUAAAGUUUAUUUUUUAAGGAAAGCUCAGAUAACUGAAGAGCCAACAAGCAAGCCAAUUCUGAAUUGGGAUGACAAAGUAUUAAAUAAAUGUAAAAACAACCCUUCAAGGAAUUAGGGCUUUACCUGAGAGUCUGUAAGCACUGGGAAGUUAUCAUUGACAUCUUUCACUUUAAUAUUACAUUCGCAUUGAGUCGACAGCCCUUCUCCAUCUUUGUCUGUGCCACUCACAACCAGAUGGUAGCUGCUGACUUGCUGAAUUUAGAGAAAGAAAUAAAGAAGUACUAUCAGUCUUCUAAGAAUAUGAAUAGCCAUUACUUUCUUUCCAGGGGCAAACCAGUGAAGACAUUGAACUUCAUGGUUCCCGGAUCACAUGCACUGUUAGCUCUUCAUGAAAGAGAAGGGUGCAUUUGAUUGUGCAGCAGUUCCCAGGUACACAGUUCAUACCGGCGGAUUCACACUCAGGAAGGCAAACCAUGUUCCUAGGUUAGAGCAGAGAAUUGGUCAAAGUACGGACUUCUCCAGUGUUUCUGCUGAUGAGAAACAUGGGCAUGCCUGAAGGUUCCUGGGAGACAACUUUGAAGGCAAUUUUAGAGUUCAAGUGGUUUGGUUCAUCUGCGUCUGUGGCAUUCAAUAUCAUCACCAGUGCACAAACCAUCAGUAGAGGAUCUUGGUAGAGGAAUUAAUGUUGUUACUUGUUAUUGGAUUGAUUCAUGUGCUCCUAAAUUUACCAGUAGAACAGUCACCUUCUGAAACCAUGAAGUACAGGGAGAAGGUAGCCCAAUGUUGAAGACCCAAACUUACCAGGAAGCUUGGAGUUUCCUCUCGAUCAACUAUGGCUGUUAUGUUAAUAUCACCAGUGUUUGGGUCAACGAGAAAGAUUCCAAACGGGGGCUGAUCAAUUCCCACUCCGGAAAUUCGGGUUUUGCAAAUUUCACCCAUUCACGUUUAUAUCUUCGUUUGGUUUGUUGAACUGCUGUCUCAUCUUCUCCAUGAUGUCCUUUUGUCUUAUGUAAGAAGGGAUUCCAUUUUAUUAUGCACAUUGUCAAUAAUUUUUACUUUGAAUAUUGAUUAUGGACUCCUAUGCUGAGGAACUCCCUAUGUUUCAAGGUAUCUAAGACUGUUAGAUGUUUAAUUUGCUCAACCCAACAUUUUGUAAAGGAAAAAACAUUAAUUAACUAAAACAAUUACAAAGUUAUAUAAUUUAUAAUAUUAACAUUUAAUCAUAUUUUAUAUUUUUUAUAUACAUCACAAUGUCAAGUGUUCUAGAUUCCUAGGAUUUCACCAGUUGGGUUGUUUAAGGAGAAGAAAGAAUGCGUGAGAUAAAUCCUAACAAUAACAUUUAUAGAUGGUAUUUUCUAAGUAUUGCUGGGUUAGUCACUGAUUUUAAAAAAUCACUGACUUUAAAAAAUCAAAUGAUUUUACACAUCAAAUAUUCAUCUUUCCUAAAUACAAUUUUAAUUUUUAAAACUAAACUUUUAUUUAAAUUGCAAAAUAGUUUUCAUACUUCACCUCUAUUCGCAAUUCUCCAUGAACCAAUACCACCACCUGUAGACAUUAAAAUAGAGUCAAAUUACAUGUGAGUUCUUAAAAUAAAUAAUCACAAACAAUGAAUUAUCCUGAUUAUUUCAUUUGCAUGUUCAUGUUAUAGUUUGUUUCUAUUUCAAAAGAAGUAGGUUUGGAGAGGUGGUAUUUAAAGCAUAAAUUCCUGUCAGGAAGAGGAAUGUUGCUCUCAGUAUAAACAAGUUCUUCCAGUUCUUUAACCUGACUACAGAGUUUAGUGACAUAAGAAGAACAUAUUGGACUUUGCAAAACUAUACUAACGGCCAGUUGCAGCAACCAGACAUUCUCAUGUAGCUGUUCUCUGAACAGUUCGCAGAAGCUACGGAAGGCAUUGUUUUGGGCAAGGAAGAAAGUGGUUAUAGGGGCUGAUUAAAGACUAUCACCUGUUCAACUGGCUUGCAAAAACAAAACUGUAUUAGCUGCAAUUCCUGGAUAUUUUCUUUAGUCGUACAAGAGCCAAAAGAGCAGAAUGGAAUUACUGAAGUCAGGCAAGCUACUCACACUCUCAAGAGCAUAUGGGACCUUCAUAUGUACCAUUUCCCAUCUUGCUGUCCACUGGGGAUUCAUUCCUCUUUCCCCUCCACUUAAAUAUUACUCAUCCUUUAAGGUCUGUGUUCAAAUUCCAAAAUGCCCCAUGAAACUGUCUUUACUAAUGUCUGUCUUUUUGAGUUUGUACAACUCACAUUUUGUACCAUGCAAGUUAGUAUUUUAGUUUAUCAUGACUUAUUACUUUUUAUUGUUUUAUUUAGUUUAUCAUUACUUAUUACUUUUUAUUGUUUUACAAGAUUAAAAAAAAUUUCUCUGCUAAGUCAAGAGAAUUGCAAACUUUCUCAGUCUGUGCUUUUAUCUUAAUUUUUUUUUCCCCUUCAGCAGAUGUUUAACCACUAUUCAGUGACCUGCUAAUUAUGUGAUCUAAAGAGAGUUUGGUAGGAAAAUGAUUGUGGAAAACCAGUCAGAAGAAAAAAAAAAUAGAAGAGUAGUAAUAGUAGCUAAUGUUCAUUAUGUGACUUUUGUUAAUUUUAUUCAUAGAGCUUUAUACUUACUAUCUUGUUUAAUAUUUACAGAAGUCAUGGGAAGGAGAUUCCAUUGUUAUAAUCCCUAUUUUAUGGAUGAAGAAAGGGACCCUCGUAGUCAGAAUUUGAACCUUAGCAGCCUGACUUCAGGGUUUGUACAACAGCACUGUACUAGAUUCUAACCAAAGUUGGCAGAAAUAAACAGGAAACCAAACCAAACCAACAAGAAAACUAGUGGUGGGAAAAAACUUAUAGGAUAGUUAAUUUAGAUUUCUGUUUGGUCAAAGGCUAUGGUGGCUCCUGAAACAAUGUAAAUUUACUACAUUGUUAAUUUUCAAAGGUUACAAUGAAUGGACAAGUCCAAGUCUGAACCAAAGGAUUAAUCACAUCAGUCUUAGGAUGUCCAGACCCUUCCAUUUUAAAUCUUUUAACUGAAACUCUGAUUUCAAAGAGUGUGUUCAAAUUGUUAUGAAAAAGUCAUUAUAACAUGUCUCAAAAGGAUUUUACAACAUCGUUCUCUUUAUUAGCAAGGUAGUGAUUGAACAACUCCUUUCUCAGAUCACAAGAGGAGACACUCAACUACACGUGAGGGGAAGGAUGAGCCAGGCACCUUUUGCCUUUACAGGAAAACCAGAGUCAUCCAGAAAAUAUGAAUCACGUCUGACCCAAUCCCACAGAGGAGGAUUCUUCUAGUAGGCAGUAGGGCACAAUUUUUAUUUUCUUGGGAAGCAAAGGAAAGACAAACCCCAAACUCUGCAGAGUUAACUUUAUAGAUGUUGUUUAUUUUUUCAAUUUUUUUCCCUAGCAUCAGAGCACUUGGAAAAGUUAUUCAUUCUAAGUCUUUACUCUUUCCUGUCUUUUAAAGUCAGACCAACAAGAAUGCCCCUAAUUUUAGGAAACAUUGUAAAACUAUGAUGCUUUCAUGUUUUCUUUUUUCUUUUAGGAAUAUGGGGUAGUUGAUAAGAAAUAUUUCUGAAUAUUGCAAUGCUCUUCAGAUAUUUAGAAAUAUAAUCACAGUCUUUCAUCGUUUAGAAUAGUAUUUUCUAAAAAAUGUUAUUUUAGUUAACAAAUACUUA